rnacentral:rRNA from 1 species
CCUACGGGAGGCAGCAGUAGGGAAUAUUGGGCAAUGGAGGGAACUCUGACCCAGCCAUGCCGCGUGCAGGAUGAAGGCGUUAUGCGUUGUAAACUGCUUUUAUAUAGGAAGAAAUAGUCCUUGCGAGGAAAGUUGACGGUACUAUAUGAAUAAGCACCGGCUAACUCCGUGCCAGCAGCCGCGGUAAUACGGAGGGUGCAAGCGUUGUCCGGAUUUAUUGGGUUUAAAGGGUGCGUAGGCGGUUUAUUAAGUCAGUGGUGAAAGACGGUCGCUCAACGAUUGCAGUGCCAUUGAUACUGGUAGACUUGAGUGGGAUUGAGGUAGCUGGAAUGGAUAGUGUAGCGGUGAAAUGCAUAGAUAUUAUCCAGAACACCAAUUGCGUAGGCAAGUUACUAAGUCUCAACUGACGCUGAGGCACGAAAGUGUGGGUAUCAAACAGGAUUAGAUACCCUGGUAGUCCACACUGUAAACGAUGAUAACUAAACUGUUGGCUUUCGGGGUCAGUGGUACAGAGAAAUCGUUAAGUUAUCCACCUGGGGAGUACGCCGGCAACGGUGAAACUUAAAGAUAAGUCGACGCGAGAGAGCGACGACGACGACGACGAGGAGGAGG